UGCCAGCAGCCGCGGUAAUACGGAGGGUGCAAGCGUUGCUCGGAAUUACUGGGCGUAAAGGGUGCGCAGGCGGUCUGUUAAGUCAGAUGUGAAAGCCCAGGGCUCAACCCUGGAACUGCAUCUGAAACUGGCAGACUUGAGGCAGAGAGAGGGAAGUGGAAUUCCUGGUGUAGAGGUGAAAUUCGUUGAUAUCAGGAGGAACACCAGCGGCGAAGGCGGCUUCCUGGCUCUGUUCUGACGCUGAGGCACGAAAGCGUGGGUAGCAAACAGGAUUAGAUA
rnacentral:rRNA from 1 species